rnacentral:rRNA from 1 species
AUACGGAGGAUGCGAGCGUUAUCCGGAUUUAUUGGGUUUAAAGGGAGCGUAGGUGGGAUAUUAAGUCAGCUGUGAAAGUUUGGGGCUCAACCUUAAAAUUGCAGUUGAUACUGGUUUCCUUGAGUACGGUACAGGUGGGCGGAAUUCGUGGUGUAGCGGUGAAAUGCUUAGAUAUCACGAAGAACUCCGAUCGCGAAGGCAGCUCACCGUGCCGGAACUGACACUGAUGCUCGAAAGUGCGGGUAUCAAACAGGAUUAGAUACCCUGGUAGUCCGCACAGUAAACGAUGAAUACUCGCUGUUUGCGAUACACUGUAAGCGGCCAAGCGAAAGCGUUAAGUAUUCCACCUGGGGAGUACGCCGGCAACGGUGAAACUCAAAUGAAUUGACGGGG